CCCUUAGAUGUUCUGGGCUGCACACGUGCUACACUGGCAGGUUCAGCGAGCUUCAUGCCCUGAUCUGAAAGGAAUGGGAAAUCUUUUCAAAACCUGCCGUGCUUGGGAUAGAUGUUUGCAAUUAUUCAUCUUCAACGAGGAUUGCCUUGUAAGCGCACGUCAUCAGCGUGCAUGGAAUACGACCCUGUAUUCUGUACACACCGCCCGUCGCUCCUACCGAUUGAAGUUUUCGGUGAGUUGACAGGAGGAUUUUUUUGAAACUGGUUCGCCAGUGGAUUUUAGAUCCAAAUGCCAACGAAUCGAUGGCUUUAGAGGAAGGAGAAGUCGUAACA
rnacentral:rRNA from 1 species